UCUUCUGUGCUUAGCUUCACUGGAGUGUCAACACUUAAUACUAGUUAUGUAGAAUUACAACUUUAUGUUUAUUACAGUAAAUAUACAGGCAUGUAAGGAAAAAUUCUAGAACAGCUUUUCUUAGUAUGUUAAAAAUUUUAAUCACCAUUUCACCUUUGAAGAUCAUUCUCUCUUGCACAGAGCACUAAAUUCAGUACGAGAUCUGCUAUGAUGUUUCUCUCUUAUAUGUAACCAAGAAAUUUCCCAUGCUGUCACUAAGAAUCAGGACCUAAAAUUAUAUUGGAAAUAUCAUCAAAGGAUAAAUAAUACUGGAUCUUCUUUUGGUUACAUUUAUAGGUAUGUUAUUCAUAUAAAUUCUAUAAAAAUUAUAUACAUUUAUAAAAAUAUAAUAUCCUAUCAGUCAUAAUUUUGACUAUAUUAAACCUUUUCUAAAGUUAUAUUUAUAUGGAUAUUAACAUAAAUAUUUUAAAGAUUAUGUCAAAUGUAUGGAAGUCUGGUGGUUCUGAUGUGAUGAUUCUGGUUUUUAUCUUACUAUGCUACAUAUAAUAGAAAUAGCUAAAUUUUAUUGCCAAUUGAAAAUUUUCAACCAAUUUUAACCAUGGUUAUUACAAGUUUCUGUCACCCACAAUUCCUGGAGGGUAGGAGCUGCCACUCAGUGGCCAUGUCCAGGGCACAUUGGCCCUCAGCCCCAGCCAAUCUCCCAUGGCCAGCGCACAAGGCCACCACAGCCUGGUCCUGACGUGAUACCCAAGACCGGUGGGUAGGAGGGGCAUCUGGUGAGUUAUUGCUUAAACUUCUUCUCUAAAAGCAUUUACAAUAAACUGUGAUCUAAAUUACUUUCCAUGGAAAGGACUCUGACAAGUACUCUUAAACACAAGAUUACUUUGGACAUCAUACCAUCAGAGUAGAAAAAACUUUCAAGACUCUAAGUAAAAAGCUAAAAUAAGAACUGCUAAUCUAACAUCAAGCAGAACAAGAGUUAAUUACACAGGAUUGAACUGAUAGAAGAAUACGAAGAUUUUAUUCAUGACAUUUUCAUUUGAAAUGGCUGAUUCUCUUUAUAUUUUGUUUUCCAGAGUCAAGAUAACCUUUUCUCUUUAUUUUUAAUUGACAAUACAUUAGAUAGAGUAUAUUUUUGUGGACAAAAAUUUGAGGUAUUUAUAUUUCUCUCUACCUGAUUUCUCCAGAAUUUGGAAGCCAUUUGUGAGUAUUCUUAAUUGAUGGCAAUACAAUUAUUUGCAUACAUUCAAUAAGAAUCUGUUUCCUUUUGUAACAGGAUACAAUUGGAGACACUGGUUAUUUUACCAAAGCUUUGAUUAGAAUGGCAUAUUUUCAGAUAUGAUCAGGCUGCUUUGAGAAAUUGGUGCUGACUUCAUAGAGCCAAUGAAAAACUUAGAAAGACUGGAUUGGUACCUUGUCUACAAUGUUCCCUUACAGGGUUUCUGUCCUUCUGAUAAUUAAAGAAUAUCACUUUCUGACAGGCCUGGGAACCUCAAGAUAUUUUGGAACCUUGAGAAGAGAGAAAUACACUCAUUCACACAGGUUUUACAGCCACAAUCUGAUGGAUUAACCAUGGCUUUACUAGACUCAAGGCUUUUAAAAAUCCAAAAUUUCUUAUAAAUAGGUUCCAACAAAGCUAAUUUUAAAAAAGAAGCUUAUAAGGCCAAUUAUUGCUGCACUUUAUGCAAAUAAUCAUGCCAGGUAGAUAUAAGACUAAAACUUAUUUUGCAAACAAGUCAGUCCUAUGAUUUGUCUCUGAUAAAAAUGAGAAGCUUGAGAAAGAUAAAUUAUAUUUCAACAGCAAACUAUAACACACCUGUUAUUGGAUUCCAACACUGACCAUUGUUUUUAAGUUUUUAUCAUUUGUUAUAAUCAAGACUGAAUCCUGAAUUUUUCCUUGCUUCAAUAAGUAUCCCUAAUGAACCUGCAUAUAAUAUAUUUUAAAAACUUCUUUUUAUGAUUUCCAUCAGGCAUAGGAUCUAUUUUUGAAGUACUACUUAAACUAGGAAUUAUAAUUCAAUAUAUGUUGGGGUUUCUCUUCCAUCUUGUUAAGUUCGGUACCUACUAUUUGUUUCUUAUUUUUAAAAUCAAACUGAUUACAUCCUACCCAAUACCAAUGACAUGUUCUUUAACCUGUCUUUGUUAUAAGUAAACCAAAGACUUUUCCGUGUUUAUCAGGGACACUAUGUGCACCUCCUGAAUAUGCAUUUAUUUGUCAACAUAUUGACCACCCCUGGUUUUAUGCAUGUGUUGACAGGUGGUGCAUAAGAGUUAAUUGUUUAUUAGGUUAUCUGACUAUUCUUCUUUCUAUUUAUAGCUUCACUGCUUCUCAAUAUUGGACCAGUUUCUUAAAACUAUUUUCCAGGAGUAAACAAACCCUACCUGCAAACCAAGAAGACAGAUUUUGGCCUAUGUUUAGCAAUAUUCUCUUGCCAUGAUGGAGAGUAUCCUCUCAUGAACAACGAUUAUAAAUCUGUCAAUCACUCUAUGUAACUUCUCAAGUGAAGCAGCUAAAGCCAUAGCUGCCCAACAAAAAUCUUUAAACUCUUUAGCCACAGUAGUAAUGGAUAACAGAAUACCCCUAGACUAAGUAUUGGUGGAACAGGAAAGAGUUUCUAUGGUAGCUAACAUAUCAUGUUGUGUUUACAUCAAUACAUUUUCUGAAGUUGAAACACACAUGAAAUUAGAAGACAACAAGCUAAUUAAUCACAACAAAUUCCCAGGGAAGAACCAGGUGCCAACUGGUUCUCAGAUAUAUUUUUCUGAAUCCCACAUAGAAUUCAAUGUAUGCCCCCAAGCCAUACGAAAAUUAAGACUUUACCUAUUACUAAUGCUCAUUUUUGGACAUUUGGUUAGCAAAUGCUGCCUCUGAUGUUAAACUUUUAAACUGUUAAAAGAGAAACCAAUGUAUUAAUAAUGCUAAAUGUUAAUAUUGUACCAGAUAUUAGAGAAUAUCUUCAACUUAAUGCAAAAUGAUUUCAUCCUUUAGGCCCAAACCUGCACCCCUAGUCAGUAGGAAAAAGCUAGAAUGGACGUUGCCCCUAAUCCCUCAUGACUGAAGAAUGCACAUAGAACAGGGGGGAUUGAAACCAUGACCCAAAGAUUUAGUUAAAGAAACCAAUGGCUAAAAGAAGUUAUUGAGUUUGCAGGUUGGCAGAUUAAAAAAAGAAGAAGAGGAAACAACAACAACAACGACAGAACAACAACAACAACAAAAACUUGCUGAAACACUGAAACUCCCUUUGCUUAUUAACUAAAGAACACUGACUGAAAUUGAUUGGACUCAAUAUGGCCAACUAGAGUCUGCACAGAAAGAGCUUGCUGACAUUGCAACCUGAAUUUUCAGUGCAUGUUUCAUAACAGCUCCCUCCAACUUUGUACAUGUGACCCAUGCGAUAGUAUGAAGUUAACUGUAUGCCCAGGGACUUUCUAGACCUUCUCUUUCCUUCCACCAAUUAUUUGAUCAUCUCAGAAUCCACCUCCUGAAACUUUUUGUAUACAAAUACUGCUUUGAAGCCAGCAUGGGGAGAAAAACUUGAGUUUGACAUGCCUGUCUUCUUGUGAGUCAACUUGCAAAAUAAAGCUUUCCUUUUCUCAAAAA
rnacentral:lncRNA from 1 species